GGUUAAGCGACUAAGCGUACACGGUGGAUGCCCUGGCAGUCAGAGGCGAUGAAGGACGUGCUAAUCUGCGAUAAGCGUCGGUAAGGUGAUAUGAACCGUUAUAACCGGCGAUUUCCGAAUGGGGAAACCCAGUGUGAUUCGUCACACUAUCAUUAACUGAAUCCAUAGGUUAAUGAGGCGAACCGGGGGAACUGAAACAUCUAAGUACCCCGAGGAAAAGAAAUCAACCGAGAUUCCCCCAGUAGCGGCGAGCGAACGGGGAGCAGCCCAGAGCCUGAAUCAGUGUGUGUGUUAGUGGAAGCGUCUGGAAAGGCGCGCGAUACAGGGUGACAGCCCCGUACACAAAAAUGCACAUACUGUGAGCUCGAUGAGUAGGGCGGGACACGUGGUAUCCUGUCUGAAUAUGGGGGGACCAUCCUCCAAGGCUAAAUACUCCUGACUGACCGAUAGUGAACCAGUACCGUGAGGGAAAGGCGAAAAGAACCCCGGCGAGGGGAGUGAAAAAGAACCUGAAACCGUGUACGUACAAGCAGUGGGAGCCUCUUAAUGGGGUGACUGCGUACCUUUUGUAUAAUGGGUCAGCGACUUAUAUUCUGUAGCAAGGUUAACCGAAUAGGGGAGCCGAAGGGAAACCGAGUCUUAACUGGGCGUUAAGUUGCAGGGUAUAGACCCGAAACCCGGUGAUCUAGCCAUGGGCAGGUUGAAGGUUGGGUAACACUAACUGGAGGACCGAACCGACUAAUGUUGAAAAAUUAGCGGAUGACUUGUGGCUGGGGGUGAAAGGCCAAUCAAACCGGGAGAUAGCUGGUUCUCCCCGAAAGCUAUUUAGGUAGCGCCUCGUGAACUCAUCUCCGGGGGUAGAGCACUGUUUCGGCAAGGGGGUCAUCCCGACUUACCAACCCGAUGCAAACUGCGAAUACCGGAGAAUGUUAUCACGGGAGACACACGGCGGGUGCUAACGUCCGUCGUGAAGAGGGAAACAACCCAGACCGCCAGCUAAGGUCCCAAAGUCAUGGUUAAGUGGGAAACGAUGUGGGAAGGCCCAGACAGCCAGGAUGUUGGCUUAGAAGCAGCCAUCAUUUAAAGAAAGCGUAAUAGCUCACUGGUCGAGUCGGCCUGCGCGGAAGAUGUAACGGGGCUAAACCAUGCACCGAAGCUGCGGCAGCGACGCUUAUGCGUUGUUGGGUAGGGGAGCGUUCUGUAAGCCUGCGAAGGUGUACUGUGAGGUAUGCUGGAGGUAUCAGAAGUGCGAAUGCUGACAUAAGUAACGAUAAAGCGGGUGAAAAGCCCGCUCGCCGGAAGACCAAGGGUUCCUGUCCAACGUUAAUCGGGGCAGGGUGAGUCGACCCCUAAGGCGAGGCCGAAAGGCGUAGUCGAUGGGAAACAGGUUAAUAUUCCUGUACUUGGUGUUACUGCGAAGGGGGGACGGAGAAGGCUAUGUUGGCCGGGCGACGGUUGUCCCGGUUUAAGCGUGUAGGCUGGUUUUCCAGGCAAAUCCGGAAAAUCAAGGCUGAGGCGUGAUGACGAGGCACUACGGUGCUGAAGCAACAAAUGCCCUGCUUCCAGGAAAAGCCUCUAAGCAUCAGGUAACAUCAAAUCGUACCCCAAACCGACACAGGUGGUCAGGUAGAGAAUACCAAGGCGCUUGAGAGAACUCGGGUGAAGGAACUAGGCAAAAUGGUGCCGUAACUUCGGGAGAAGGCACGCUGAUACGUAGGUGAAGCGACUUGCUCGUGGAGCUGAAAUCAGUCGAAGAUACCAGCUGGCUGCAACUGUUUAUUAAAAACACAGCACUGUGCAAACACGAAAGUGGACGUAUACGGUGUGACGCCUGCCCGGUGCCGGAAGGUUAAUUGAUGGGGUUAGCGGUAACGCGAAGCUCUUGAUCGAAGCCCCGGUAAACGGCGGCCGUAACUAUAACGGUCCUAAGGUAGCGAAAUUCCUUGUCGGGUAAGUUCCGACCUGCACGAAUGGCGUAAUGAUGGCCAGGCUGUCUCCACCCGAGACUCAGUGAAAUUGAACUCGCUGUGAAGAUGCAGUGUACCCGCGGCAAGACGGAAAGACCCCGUGAACCUUUACUAUAGCUUGACACUGAACAUUGAGCCUUGAUGUGUAGGAUAGGUGGGAGGCUUUGAAGUGUGGACGCCAGUCUGCAUGGAGCCGACCUUGAAAUACCACCCUUUAAUGUUUGAUGUUCUAACGUUGGCCCCUAAUCGGGGUUGCGGACAGUGUCUGGUGGGUAGUUUGACUGGGGCGGUCUCCUCCUAAAGAGUAACGGAGGAGCACGAAGGUUGGCUAAUCCUGGUCGGACAUCAGGAGGUUAGUGCAAUGGCAUAAGCCAGCUUGACUGCGAGCGUGACGGCGCGAGCAGGUGCGAAAGCAGGUCAUAGUGAUCCGGUGGUUCUGAAUGGAAGGGCCAUCGCUCAACGGAUAAAAGGUACUCCGGGGAUAACAGGCUGAUACCGCCCAAGAGUUCAUAUCGACGGCGGUGUUUGGCACCUCGAUGUCGGCUCAUCACAUCCUGGGGCUGAAGUAGGUCCCAAGGGUAUGGCUGUUCGCCAUUUAAAGUGGUACGCGAGCUGGGUUUAGAACGUCGUGAGACAGUUCGGUCCCUAUCUGCCGUGGGCGCUGGAGAACUGAGGGGGGCUGCUCCUAGUACGAGAGGACCGGAGUGGACGCAUCACUGGUGUUCGGGUUGUCAUGCCAAUGGCACUGCCCGGUAGCUAAAUGCGGAAGAGAUAAGUGCUGAAAGCAUCUAAGCACGAAACUUGCCCCGAGAUGAGUUCUCCCUGACUCCCUGAGAGUCCUGAAGGAACGUUGAAGACGACGACGUUGAUAGGCCGGGUGUGUAAGCGCAGCGAUGCGUUGAGCUAACCGGUACUAAUGAACCGUGAGGCUUAACCUU
rnacentral:rRNA from 1 species